rnacentral:tRNA from 1 species
GCCCUUGUAGCUCAGUAGGCAGAGCGCGUCCUUGGUAAGGACGAGGUCGGCGGUUCGAAUCCGCUCGGGGGCUCCA